UUUUUGGUCAAAACUAAUUAGAUUCUUCUUAACAUGAUUUAUUUAAAAUCAAAUUAGAUCUAGUAUCGUAGAUGAAGAUAUAAAUAAAUCCUUACCAAUUGUUGAUUGUUUGAAAAUCCUAAGAGUUGAGAAUUCUGAUUUGCAGACUUAUCAAUUGUACUUUUCAGCUGCAAAAUUGUUAGGAACACAAAUUAAAAAACUUAAAUAUUGAUGUAAAACAUAAGAAAAAAGAAAUAUUAGUAGCUUAUCUCUACUAUAUUCUUAGAUACGUACAAAUUGAUAUAUCCAGUAUGCUUAGUGAAUUGCUUCCAUGAUUGAAGGAUCCUGGUUUGGAUGCUUGGAUUUGCUAACUCGUUUUAAAAGCUUAAUGUUAUUAAGGGAAUUUUUUUUUGUUUCUUUGUUCUUUGCCGUCGUCUCGUCUAUAUCGCUGGCGUCGACUACAAAGUGGAGACCAUAGUAAGAGCUCAUACAAG